UAGGGAAUCUUCCACAGUGGACGAAAGUCUGAUGGAGCAACGCCGCGUGAGUGAAGAAGGGUUUCGGCUCGUAAAACUCUGUUGUUAAAGAAGAACAUAUCUGAGAGUAACUGUUCAGGUAUUGACGGUAUUUAACCAGAAAGCCACGGCUAACUACGUGCCAG
rnacentral:rRNA from 1 species